UUCAAACUCCUCACUUUUAAGUACCAACCCAAACUCAAGUCCACCUUCUCCAUCUCCACUUUCAGCAAGAGACACACCCUUAAAUGCAUGCACCAUCUCAACUUUAACAGGUUUUCCAAAUCCAAAAUUGGUCUCAUAAACAUUAAACUUAGGUGACCCAUGCAGAAACAAUUGAUUUCCAGACAUAUACAUAGUUUUACUUAAUUCAAACCAGUCUUCUAAUUUUUUAAGAGGUUCAUUUUUUAUCUCAUUAACAGCCUUUUCAAUUACCUUAACAACAUCAACAAAACUAUCUAUUCCCUUCAUAUCCUUUCUCUUCAUGGUUGCACUUUUAGACACUACACAGUUCCCAAAAUACCCCUCUGGUAUUGAGUACCCAAGUCUAUCUCUGCAAUCACAUGUGAAACAAAAGUACUCAUCUUUUUCAUCAUCAUCAUCACCACCAUCAUCAUUUUUAUGCAUUGCUUCAACCAUACUAGCCCAAACAAAAGCAGAAGUUACAACAAAUUUAGAUAUAAAUUUUGGCACGUUGAUUUCAUUAUUAUCAUUUUUCUUCCAUUGAUUCAGCACCCAUUUUUUCAUCCCCUCAAUUUCUUCUUUUCCAAAAGCAAUAAUUACCUUAAAAGAAUCUUCAUGUUCUCCAGUGCUUUGACUUUGAGCAAUGAGUCUAAACUUCCAUGAUUUUCUUGUAAAAAAAUAAUCUCUUAAAAUAAGAUCCUCAAGUCCUCUAGGGUCCUUCAAAACUUCUCUAUCAAAACAAGGUAGUGACUUCAAUUCAGCUGCAUCACCUCCUUGAUGGAUAAAAGACCAAGAUUUCAUGAAAUGAUUGCAACUGUUACCAUCCAUCACGUGGCAAUAUGUAAUGCCAAUGCAAACACCAUGGUUGGGAAAAACUGAGACUUGCAAAGCCAACAAUGGAAGAGUGAAUGUGUCAUUUUCAAUGUCAUUAAUAUCUUCAACCCUAGUUUUGUGUGUUAAUAUUGGAGCAAGGUGAUUAUUUUCUUUGAGAUUUUUCAGGUGGUGUUUGUUUGAGAGAUGGUUGAAAUCUGACGAGGAUUCAACGAUGGUGAAGAAGACGGAGUCUUCUUCGGUGCAGCGAAUAAAAGGUUUUUGUGGUGGUGGUGGAGAAAUGAGAUUUCCAGCAAGAGGGAAAAAAUGUUGAAGAGCACAUGAAAGAGACUGUUUGAGAGAUGGAAGUGUUGUUUUGCAAAAAUGGUUGGUAGAAUGAGGAAAAGGAUAGAAGAAUAAGCGUUUAGCGUAGAUUGGACCAGCAAAAUGCAAGUCAAGAAAUGUGAGAGGAAGAUAAGUAGUUGUUGCUGUUCUUGUUGCAGGAAACACAAGAGUUUGCUCAAUAAGUUUAUGCUCUGCUCCUAUAGGUUUUCCCAUUUCUUAAAUUUGAUAUGGAUGGGAUGAUAUGAAAUGCUAUUGGGAAGAAGCAAUUUAUACACCUUUAAGAGAUGUAAUAUCACGUAUAAAAUAUGGAAAAUAUUAUGGUACGACAAUUUUUUUUUUAAAAUAAUUGUACGAUACUAAUCCAUUUGAGUUGAUUCGGUGAUGUUGGCUUGAGACUUUAUGUUUGUUUUAAGAUAUUAAGUUCAAUUCUUUCGAUGUCAAUUUGAAUUCUUCAAAAAAUAAUAAUUGUACGAUACUACCAAG
rnacentral:lncRNA from 1 species